ACGUAGGAGGCAAACGUUAUCCGGAUUUACUGGGCGUAAAGCGCGUGUAGGUGGUUCUGUAAGUAGGGCGUGAAAGCUCCUGGCUCAACUGGGAGAGGCCGUUCUAAACUGCAGAGCUAGAGGAUGGUAGAGGGAGGUGGAAUUCCGGGUGUAGCAGUGGAAUGCGGAGAUAUCCGGAGGAACACCAGUGGCGAAAGCGGCCACCUGGAACAGUCCCGACACUCAGACACGAAAGCUAGGGUAGCAAACAG
rnacentral:rRNA from 1 species